rnacentral:lncRNA from 1 species
CCUGAUCUUGCUAAUAGAUAGUCUCCAUAAUCCUCGUGGUCCCAAGAAAAUGUCAUAAUAUGGCCAAGAUAUCUCUACUCUGAUUUCAUUUUUGCAAACAAAACAACUACAAAAGGAAUGUUUUUUGAUGGAAAUACAAAAGGGAUGUUGAUCCUAUUAAGCAUUGGAAAGGAAAACUUAUGAGCCCCUAAAUCAAUAACAAUAGCGUACAUGAAAAAUAAAGUUCCUAUUCAAAAAAUGACAAAAAAUAUUAUAGCUUAACUAAAUGCUUCUUAACCCUAUUAUUAACUAACUAAAUAACUAAAUGCUUCUUGAUUCAAUCUUUGAAUUUGAAAAGAGAGUAAAUUAUAAAUACCUACAUUGGGCCCGAUUGCAAUAUUCCUGCAUGCUGAUAUCUAGCUUGGUGGAUAUGAUACUCUCUAUAUUUGCUAGGUCCGGGUUUUAAAUUGAAUACUCCUUCACACUAUGCGUCCUUAAUUUGUUGUAGAGAGGCACAGCCCACCCUCUUCC